rnacentral:rRNA from 1 species
ACCGGCGCACGGGUGAGUAACGCGUAUGUAAUCUACCUGUAACAGAGGGAUAACCCGGAGAAAUCCGGACUAAUACCUCAUAGCACAUAUUAUUCGCAUGAAUUUUAUGUUAAAGAGACUCGGUUACAGAUGAACAUGCGUUCCAUUAGCUGGUUGGCGGGGUCACGGCCCACCAAGGCAACGAUGGAUAGGGGUUCUGAGAGGAAGGUCCCCCACCACUGGUACUGAGACACGGACCAGACUCCUACGGGAGGCAGCAUG